GAGCGAACCGCAAGGUUAGCGGCGGACGGGUUAGUAACGCGUGGGAACGUGCCCAAAGGUACGGAAUAGCCUCGGGAAACUGAGAGUAAUACCGUAUGUGCCCUCCUGUUGUAGUGACAGGGGGGGAAAGAUUUAUCGCCUUUGGAUCGGCCCGCGUUGGAUUAGGUAGUUGGUGGGGUAAUGGCCCACCAAGCCGACGAUCCAUAGCUGGUUUGAGAGGAUGAUCAGCAACACUGGGACUGAGACACGGCCCAGACUCCUACGGGAGGCAGCAGUGGGGAAUCUUAGACAAUGGGGGAAACCCUGAUCUAGCCAUGCCGCGUGGACGAUGAAGGCCCUAGGGUUGUAAAGUCCUUUCAGCUGGGAAGAUAAUGACGGUACCAGCAGAAGGAGCCCCGGCUAACUCCGUGCCAGCAGCCGCGGUAAUACGGAGGGGGCUAGCGUUGUUCGGAAUUACUGGGCGUAAAGCGCGCGUAGGCGGACUUCUAAGUCGGGGGUGAAAUCCCGGGGCUCAACCCCGGAACUGCCUUCGAUACUGGGAGUCUGGAGUUCGAGAGAGGUGAGUGGAAUUCCGAGUGUAGAGGUGAAAUUCGUAGAUAUUCGGAGGAACACCAGUGGCGAAGGCGGCUCACUGGCUCGAUACUGACGCUGAGGUGCGAAAGCGUGGGGAGCAAACA
rnacentral:rRNA from 1 species